AUGUAAGUCAAUCUGUCUUUACACAGGGAUAAAUUACUCUUGAACAAAAUGAUCCUAGAUAGUUUUCCCUUUAAGUCAAGCAUCUUGU
rnacentral:pre_miRNA from 1 species